rnacentral:lncRNA from 1 species
CCGUCCCUGGGUUCCUUGGCCAUCCCAGAGCUGCUAGAUGCUUGGCGCCUGCCGCGCACCACCUCUCACCUUCUGUUGUGAUCUGUUGGACUAGUGUAGCGACAUUCUUGGCCUGGGAACAAUUGAAAACUCUAUCAUUCCUCUCCUUCCAAAGGUUCUAGGAGAUUAGCAUGAAAGGUGAAUUGAGGCCUUUGCACUUGUUUGCAGUGAAACCAGCUCUUUUCUGCAGCCACCAAUCCAGUAGUGAUUGAUGCUGUAACGGUGCAGUGUUUUGAAUGUUGAUUGAAGCGCUGACUUCAUGCCACACCUGCAACGUGUAGGAGCAUCUGGAGAGCAGGGGCUUUGCCGUUUCCAGUGCGAUUGCAGAGGGCACAAUCGGCUUGAUCCUGCAGUCCUCUUCUUUGUCUCCUUGCCGCCGUCCACAACCUGUUCUUGGUGGCCAACCACAUAAAAACUUGACUUUGAGAGGAGCCCAUGAUUUCCAAAUUGGCUUUGCUGCAGCAAAUGUGACAGCUGUUUUGAAG